UGGGGAAUUUUGGACAAUGGGCGAAAGCCUGAUCCAGCAAUGCCGCGUGUGUGAAGAAGGCCUUCGGGUUGUAAAGCACUUUUGUCCGGAAAGAAAUCCUUGGCUCUAAUACAGUCGGGGGAUGACGGUACCGGAAGAAUAAGCACCGGCUAACUACGUGCCAGCAGCCGCGGUAAUACGUAGGGUGCAAGCGUUAAUCGGAAUUACUGGGCGUAAAGCGUGCGCAGGCGGUUUGCUAAGACCGAUGUGAAAUCCCCGGGCUCAACCUGGGAACUGCAUUGGUGACUGGCAGGCUAGAGUAUGGCAGAGGGGGGUAGAAUUCCACGUGUAGCAGUGAAAUGCGUAGAGAUGUGGAGGAAUACCGAUGGCGAAGGUAGCCCCUGGGCCAAUACUGACGCUCAUGCACGAAAGCGUGGGGAGCAAACAGGAUUAGAUACCCUGGUAGUCCACGCCCUAAACGAUGUCAACUAGUUGUUGGGGAUUCAUUUCCUUAGUAACGUAGCUAACGCGUGAAGUUGACCGCCUGGGGAGUACGGUCGCAAGAUU
rnacentral:rRNA from 1 species